AUGCACGCUGGCGGCGUGCCUAAUACAUGCAAGUCGAGCGAACAGACGAGGAGCUUGCUCCUCUGACGUUAGCGGCGGACGGGUGAGUAACACGUGGAUAACCUACCUAUAAGACUGGGAUAACUUCGGGAAACCGGAGCUAAUACCGGAUAAUAUAUUGAACCGCAUGGUUCAAUAGUGAAAGACGGUUUUGCUGUCACUUAUAGAUGGAUCCGCGCCGCAUUAGCUAGUUGGUAAGGUAACGGCUUACCAAGGCGACGAUGCGUAGCCGACCUGAGAGGGUGAUCGGCCACACUGGAACUGAGACACGGUCCAGACUCCUACGGGAGGCAGCAGUAGGGAAUCUUCCGCAAUGGGCGAAAGCCUGACGGAGCAACGCCGCGUGAGUGAUGAAGGUCUUCGGAUCGUAAAACUCUGUUAUUAGGGAAGAACAAAUGUGUAAGUAACUAUGCACGUAUUGACGGUACCUAAUCAGAAAGCCACGGCUAACUACGUG
rnacentral:rRNA from 1 species